rnacentral:sRNA from 1 species
UAGGUGGACUUAGAGCCAGAAGGAAAAAUCCAUGUCAUUGUUGAGCUACAAUCUCAAGAAAAUGCCGCACAAAAACCACGUGAGUUUAAAGAAAGGCCUGGACUUAACCGUCGACGGGGUGCAAUGCGAAGACGUGUGCAUCAAGUUAAUGGACAUAAGUUUAUGGCCACAAUUCUUCGACAGCCAACAUUUUGUUCUCAUUGUAGGGAGUUUAUAUGGGGCUUAGGAAAACAAGGAUAUCAAUGUCAAGUCUGCACAUGUGUAGUCCACAAAAGAUGCCAUGAGUUUGUUGUGACUAAGUGUACAGGAAUGAAAGAUACCACCAAUGAUGAGAUUGGUGGUAGUCGUUUCAACAUCAACAUCCCACAUCGAUUUAUGGUACAUAACUACAAGAGGCCCACAUUUUGUGACCAUUGUGGGUCGAUGCUAUAUGGUCUCAUUAGACAAGGGCUUCAAUGUGAAGCUUGUAAAAUGAAUGUGCACAAGAGGUGCCAAAGGAAUGUAGCCAAUAACUGUGGAGUUAAUCCAAAACAGAUGGCUGAAAUACUGAAUGCCAUGGGAUUUUCUGGUGACAAGUUAACAAAGAGGAAAAAGAAGACCUCAAUUACUGAAUCUUGCAACAAACUAUUGCAUCCAAUCACAGAAAGAUCUUUGACUACACCUUUGCCGGGAACAUGUGAAGAACAAGAACUUUCUGGUAAUGCCACCCGUCUCGAGGUUCAAGCUGCUGCUGAGGAAUUUAAAAGGUUGUGUCUUCAGUUACCACAGGGAGGGAUUCUUCCUGUCGAUAGGUCUCCCAUAGGUGGAUCUAGCUCUAGUGAUGUAAUAUUUGAACAAUCGUACAGAACGGAAGAAUGGGACUCAAAGAAGUUUGGAUUGAGCGAAUUUACUUUCAUUAAGGUUCUAGGAAAAGGCAGUUUUGGAAAGGUUAUGUUAGGGGAGCGUAAAGGAACUGAUGAAGUGUAUGCUAUCAAAGUUUUAAGAAAAGAUGUUAUUCUUCAAGAUGAUGAUGUGGACUGUACAAUGACUGAGAAGCGGAUCCUUACUUUAGCAGCCAAACAUCCUUUUCUCACAGCUCUCUACUGCUCUUUCCAAACAGAGGAUCGUCUGUUUUUUGUCAUGGAGUAUGUAAAUGGAGGUGAUCUCAUGUUUCAAAUUCAGAAAGCCAGGAAAUUUGAUGAAGCUCGGGCAAGAUUCUAUGCAGCAGAAGUUACUCUUGCCUUAAUGUUCUUACAUCGACAUGGAGUGAUAUACAGGGAUCUCAAGUUGGACAACAUCUUGUUAGAUAGUGAAGGACACUGCAAGAUUGCAGACUUUGGAAUGUGUAAAGAAGGAAUCGCUGGUGGUGCUACAACGACAACAUUCUGUGGUACUCCCGAUUACAUUGCACCUGAGAUCCUGCAAGAGUUAGAAUAUGGUCCUUCUGUCGACUGGUGGGCUCUGGGUGUACUGAUGUACGAGAUGAUGGCAGGACAGCCACCAUUUGAAGCUGAUAAUGAAGAUGACCUCUUUGAGUCUAUCUUACAUGAAGAUGUUGUAUAUCCUGUUUGGUUGAGCAAGGAAGCCGUUUCUGUUCUCAAAGGGUUCAUGACCAAGAAUCCUGCUAAACGAUUAGGGUGUGUACCUUCUCAGGGUCUGGAGCAGGCAAUAUUAAACCAUAUAUUUUUCAAGGAAAUUGAUUGGGAUGCUUUGGAAAGCCGAAAAGUUAAACCACCUUUUAGACCGAAAAUUAAAACCAAACGAGACGUGAACAACUUUGAUCAGGACUUCACCAAAGAAGAUCCGGUGUUGACCCAAGUAAAUCCUGAUGUAAUCCGCACUAUCAACCAGGAAGAAUUCCGAGGGUUCUCUGUAGUGAAUGAAGAUUACUGUCCAAACAGAAAUAUGGUAGAGGGUCCUGCUACAUAGCAGUGGAGGCAUUAGGUCAGCUGGUCAUCAUCCAGACAAAAAUUGAGAACCUGCCUCAUUAUGCAUUUCCAUUUAAUCUUCUGUCCCUGUGGCAAGAAAAAAUAUUGGUGUAACUUCUUAGUCAUCCAUACAGUUCUCAGAAACCGUACAAUCUUCCGGAAAUUCCAAAAUGUUGUGUCACAAGUCCUCUGUAUGUGUUACCCUUCCUACUUAAAAGAUGCCGUUAUUCAUUUAAGGCCCUUCUUUUUUGAUUACUUCUUAAGUAUUAUCAUAAAUCAUGUGGAGUUGAAACUAAAUACGAAAAGUGGAAGAAUAAUCAUUGGGAUUCAUUAAUUGGCAUGUACUUCGUGGGAUAUUUUUGUUGUAAAUGAAACUUAAGUUAUUUUUUUGUUAUUAUUCACUGAGUAAGAAAUCCAGUUUGUUUUAAUAAGAAGAAUCUCACACAUUUUAAGAGACAUGGAAGAGUGAAUAAGAACAAGCCAUCUUCAUAUAUAUAUAGUUUUAAGUGAAAGGCCGUGCUCUGGAAAGUGACUUAUUCAAUUAUAUAGCAAAUUUUGUAAAAUGUGCUUGUUAACACAAUAUAAAAUAAAUCACAUAUGUUGGUUAUUAGCUCUGUAAUGUUAAGUUUUUUAUAAUUUUUAAAUUAUUUGACCUUAGAAAACGUAGCCAAAUAAAUCGUGUAUAUGAUUGUUGUCGUUAGAUUAUGCUGGUUACAGCAUUGGGAAGUGAUGUCAUCUUCCCAGCUUUUGUUUUUUAGUGUAUGUCUUAAUAAGUGUAAGUUUGUUGGAGUACUAAUAGAGCUGGAAGCAACAAAGAUUUGAACAUGGAAAGUGUUAUAAUUUAACAGUACUAGUCAGCUCAGAACAUAAUCAUUUUAUUUAUUUCUAACAUUAUCAUCUUUACCAAUAUGAAAUUUCAAUGGACUGUCACAUUUAGAAUGCCACAACUAUGCUGUCUAGUCAGAAGUUUUCUUUAAAGAAUUAUUCAGAACUCUGCAACUCUAAAAGUUAGCUAAGUGUCACUGCUGCUGUUAUGCACAUAAUUCUUGUGUUAGUAUUUAAAAAUGAGACAAAAGUCUGUUUAAAAAUGUGCAUUUCAGUGUUACUGCAAUAAAGCAUUGAUUCUUAUCUUGAGUCAGAUGAAAAACCAGCAUUUAGAAGCAGCAAGUCUUGGUAAACAGUCUUGUGGAUGUGUGCAGUUUCUCUCAUUUUCACUGUAACUUAAUACGUUCAUAUGUAGCUAUUCAUAUUAGGUCUUAAUUAUAUUUUUAAUUUGUUUCCUGUUAAACAAUUUGUUACUGUGACAAAAUAGUUGUUUCAAAAGUAGAUACAUGGACUGUGCUCAGAGUCAUAGCUUUCUGAAAAAAUCAACAAUAAAUUGUGAUUUUCUUCA